rnacentral:rRNA from 1 species
UACGAAGGGGGCUAGCGUUGCUCGGAAUCACUGGGCGUAAAGCGCACGUAGGCGGCUUUUUAAGUCAGGGGUGAAAUCCUGGAGCUCAACUCCAGAACUGCCUUUGAUACUGAGAAGCUUGAGUCCGGGAGAGGUGAGUGGAACUGCGAGUGUAGAGGUGAAAUUCGUAGAUAUUCGCAAGAACACCAGUGGCGAAGGCGGCUCACUGGCGCGGUACUGACGCUGAGGUGCGAAAGCGUGGGGAGCAAACAGG